UCUCCUGACCUCGUAAUCCACCCACCUGGCCUCCCAAAGUGCUAGGAUUACAGGUGUGAGCCACGGCGCCCUGAGGACUGGCAGACCCAUCUGACUUUCUUGGAGUAGAGGAGGAAGAGGAGGAAGAAGAGGUGCAGGAGGAAGACCAGUGUUGAUUGAGCCAGCGGGAAGCAGAAUCUCUGGAGGGCCAUGCAGAGCCUUGGGGACUGACCAAGUUCCCCCACUGAGGGGUCCCAGGCUGGACCGACAGGAGAGCCUGGGAGGAGUUCUGACCCUGGAGAGGAGGUUGGCCCAGCCAGGGAGACAUGUCCUGCUUCAGAGAGGCCUUUCUAAAAACAAAACCCAUCCCUGAGGAAGCAAGACAUCUGGUGACUGCUCCGUUCUACCCCAAUUCUCACUCACUCUGGCCAGUGAAGCCGCUUCAGGAACAACGCCAGCCAAGCAGUUUGGUUUGGGGAAAAGAUGAUCUAUUGACUCCAGAGCAGCCUCUGUGCUCAUGGAGACCCCGUCGCAGGUCGAGGACGGUGGACACCACAAUUCCCAGCUGUCAAUACAGGAGGGGACUUUGUUUUCCUGGGUCACCAAGAAAGAACAAGAGAACGCUGGGGCCUUAGUCCUAGAGAACACCUGGGGGAACCGUCCCCCCCCAGGAAUACUCGGGGCAAACGGAAGGCAAGGCCUCUAGAGGACCAGACAGAGAGAAUGGGACGCUGCAGGAGGGUUCCAGUCCCCAAGGCUCUUUGACCAGGAGAGACGAUUGUCACCCUCCAGGCAGCCCUCCAGGGCUCCUUCAUUUUCCACAACUGCCUGAGGGCAGAGGGCUCCCCACCGCACUCCUAGAUGAAGGACCCCAUGUGUCCAGUGGGUCCCACAGCAACCAUCAGUGAUCGCACUUUAGGUCUGAGUUGGUGAGACCUCCUCCUGUGGGGACCAAGCUUAGGGCACAGACUUGGACCAAGAAUUUCACCCUCCACCCCACCCACAGGGGCUCUGUCCCAGUGGCUCUUCCAGGACCAGACCCUGCCUCAUUGAAUUCCAGAACUCAAGGAAGAUUUGGAAUCUAGGGUAGAGAGGCCUCAGCGGUCAAAGCUCAAGUCCAGCAUGGCAAAGGGUAGGGCUGAGUGCACGGCCCGGGUCACAUCUGGGUCUCUGGGCCAGUCACCGCCUCUCUGACUCUACACAUCUCACCUGUGGAAUGGCUACAUUUGGGGACAGCACCCAUCGCCACAGAGUUUCUGUGAGGACAAAGGAGAGGAUGGUCCACGCCGUCAGUGCAGAACAUGCACCCGCUACCCUUGCCCCACCAGGAAUCCCCUUCUGGCAGAGUCAAUGAGGAGAGGAAGAUGGUCACAGAAUCCAU